CUGCUGAACCCGAGCGUGGGUGACCGUGGCUCUCCACGUCCUUCCCUGACAGCUUCCACCCCGCAGGCCAGCGGGCAGCGAGCCCAGCGUGGACGCCCUCCCCACUAGAAUUUUUAUAGUUUUAGAUUUUACAUUUGUGUUUGGUGAAGAGGUUGGUCUGAUACAAGCUAAUCCACCAUAUCCAGAAGCAAUACAAAGAGCAUGGACUUUGGAGCCAGAACUCCAGGAUUCAAAUCCCAGUUCCAUCGUUUACUUGUCCUGUGAUCAUGAACAAGGUGUCCUACAUAGGCCAGGACUGCAGAGAGAUUCCAGAGCACCUCGGCAGGGACUGUGGACAUUUUGCAAAGAGGCUUGAUCUGAGCUUUAACCUUCUGAGGUCACUGGAAGGACUGAGCGCGUUCGGGAGCCUGGAGGAACUCAUCUUGGACAACAAUCUGCUCGGGGAUGACCUCGUGUUGCCAGGGUUACCCAGGCUCCACACCUUAACCCUCAACAAGAACCAAGUCACUGACUUGGAGUGUCUGCUUGAUCACCUGGCAGAAGUGACACCAGCUCUGGAGUACCUCAGCCUGCUGGGAAAUGUGGCAUGUCCCAACGAGCUAGUCAGCCUGGAAAAGGAUGAGGAAGACUACAAGAGAUACAGAUGCUUUGUUCUGCACAAGCUGCCCAAUUUGAAGUUUCUGGAUGCUCGUAAAGUAACCAAACAAGAACGAGAGGAAGCUUUGGUCAGAGGGGCGUUCAUGAAGGUGGUGAAGCCCAAGGCCUCCAGUGACAGCGUUGCCGCCUCUCCGAAGAGCCGCUACACACCCCUGCCUUCUGCUUCCAGGGAACUCACCAGUCACCGAGGUAUCCUGGGGAAGUGUCGCUAUGUUUACUAUGGGAAAAACUCAGAGGGCAACAGGUUUAUCCGCGAUGACCAGCUCUGAAGCAACAGAAACAUGAGGUCGGUCCAGCCUGAGGCAGUUUCUCCAAGAGAAGAUGGAGGAAGGACUGCUAAGUGAUUGGAAGUCUGACUUGCCUUUCAUGUCAGAAGAUGACUUCAUCGUUUGGAAACAGCAAACCCUCUGUGGUACCUCAGUGGGAUCGUUAGUGCUAUGAAGACUGAAGCCCAUAUGAACAUUUGUGUACAGAUCUUUCAACAGACCUAUGUUUUCAUUUCCUUAAAAUAAGUACUCAGAAGUGGGAAUGCUGGACCAGCGGUAAAGUAUCUUUAGAAGAGCAGAAGUCCUUAACUUGGAUAAAGUCGGUUUCUCCUUUUGUUACUCUCAAUAGGAAGAAAAAUUCCUCAACCUGAUGAAAAACCUACAGCUGACAUCAUCCAUAAGGCUGAAUGCUUUAUGUCCAUGAUAGGAAAGACACAAGGAUGUCUGUCUGCUCUCACCAGCUCAAUAUUUAAUUUUGUGUGGGAGAUCUUAACUAGUGCAAUAAGAAUCCCAUUUCUCAUUUCCUCAAGGUCCAAGCCUCACAAGCCAGGACUACUCAAGCACAUCCCAAACCUAUAGUCAUUCGUACUGUGACCCAGUUAAAUGGAGCUAUUGGUUUCCGUACAAGUUUUCCUUCUGUAGAUCUUUGUGAAAGCUUGAACAUCAAGCUUUGUGAAAUGACUCUGAUUCUUCACUAUAUCUGUAUCUUGUUCAGUGGAGGACAUGCAGUCCUGGAGCUGAUUAUAGAAUCCAUUUCAAAAAUAAGCGGAGAGAGAGAGAGAAGGUGACUCCAAGCAAAAUGUCCCUGACAUUUCUUCAUUCCAAGAAGGUAUUUUUACCAUAAGAAGAAAUCAUAGAUUACUGGAGUUGGAAAAAGCCAUGGAUAAGAUCCUUGUACUGGAUGUAGAGAUCAAGCCCCACAGAGAUUAAAUGACUUGCCCAAGGUCACAGUUUCUUAGUCUCUUAGGAGAAAUAAUACAUUUUUCUAAAAUAGGAUGCUUCUCACAUUUUAGUCUUUUACUGUCCUUAGCAAAUUUAACCUUUUCCAUGCAGCUGUUGAGAUAACCUACUGGUUGUAUAAACUACAUCAACACAAGGGACGUAUCUCAGAAAAUGCCCCCAGACUGCCUCCCUUUUCAUUAUUGAAAACCACGAGAUGAAACUCUUUAAUAACUCACUGCACAAGAGGACCAUUACUGUCAGCAUAUACCACUCAGCCAUAUAUUAUAGCUUUUUACGUCUCCACACAAAAUUGCCUUGAAAUUUACAUUUGCUAUAAAGGAUUCAAGUCCAUCACCGUUAAUUUCCCUCUACAAAUUAUGUUUAAUUAUCACCUCUUUCCACCUAUAAAGAAGCCCCUCUUGUACUUCUGUCUCCAUAUAGCUCUCAAGAAGCGUUUCCCCAGCAUGAAUCUUUGAUGGUGAUUUUAUAUCCCUUACAUGCCCUUCCUUGUCAAGCUCACACAGCCCACUUAGAGAUAUGGAAAUGAAUGGCUUGCCUGGCUCUGCAUUUCCUGCAUACAUAUGAAGUCUGGUCUCUUUAAGCAGGAGAAAAAGAGGAACAUUUUCCAGCUUUAGCCUGUGGACAAUUAGGCUAGAAACAUCCCAUUCUAAGAUUCAAAGAAGCUUUGAAAGUCUAUCCAUGAUUGAUUGCUUAACAGGUCA